AUGCACAGUGUGUGUAAGGCAGGAAAGGCAGAGAAGAAAGUAGGUGACAAAACCAGUUUUAGUGCCAGUAAAGUGUUGUUUUCUAGGAAACAGCACAUGCACAUCUUCAUUGUUGCUGGGUUGCUACUUCUGCAGGUCAAAGCAAAUCCACAUUUUUAUAUUGUAUCAUAAAUUUUAGUUGUGUUUGAUAUGGGUAGGAAGUUCAGAAAUUUGAAUACAGAUGAAUUAUAGGAAUGAAGGUAAAAUAGGGGAAAAAGGUUUCCUGCUGAGGUACUCUGUGGAACAGUGUUUUAUUUCUAGUAAUAUAAGUUUUUUUAAAAAAGAGAAUGUGUUAAAAAACCAUUAUUUUUCAAUGUCAUGAUGUGUAUGAUGAAAUGUGAAAGCCAUUAAAGUGCUAAAGAAAUCAAAAAUUAAAGAUGACAUUUAGUCCUUAAGCGAUCACUAAUACUGAUUAGUGCCUCAGAGUAAUAUAAAAUAAGGAAAAUGUGUGAAUGAAAUUUUGAGUUUUCUGGAUUCCAUAGUUUUUCUACUCUGUGUCUUGUAAUUUAGAGUGUUAUUUGACUAUAUAUCAAAAUUUCCAAUUUAUGAACGAGCCUUUGUUGUGAACAUGUUCAAGGUACAAGCUUUUGACAAUGGAGAACUUAAUGACCCACAGCAAGAAAAGUGAGAAACAGCAAUCAAUAACACAUGGAAGUGAAUUUACUAAUUUCUUCAUUAUAAAGAUAAUCAUGGUUCUGAAAUGCAGUAAAAAAGAUGAUGUUGAGAUGCUGUGGUUAAUGGGGGCCAUAUAAAACUGAAGUAGAUGGAAGAGAACAGAUAGAAACUUGAGGAGAAAUAGCCUGUCCAGAGAUCUGCUUGCUGCUUAGUUUGAAAUUCAUAAGGUGCUAUGUAGAAAUGUAAUUUCCUUGGAUUUCCAGGUACUUGGAUACUAUAAAUGAGCUCCUUCACCAUGUUGUAAUUAUGACAGAAAAAAUAACUUGUUAGAAUCCUUAAAUACUUAAGGUUGGAAAAUACCCAGCACUGCCAUAUUCAUCACUAAACCAAGUGUCCCAAAUGCCACAUCUACAUCCUUUCUGAGCAC
rnacentral:lncRNA from 1 species